GAUCAUGGCUCAGGACGAACGCUGGCGGCUUGCCUAAUACAUGCAAGUCGAACGAGAGCGACCGGUGCUUGCACUGGUCAAUCUAGUGGCGAACGGGUGAGUAACACGUGGGUAACCUGCCCAUCAGAGGGGGAUAACAUCCGGAAACGGAUGCUAAAACCGCAUAGGUCUUCGAGCCGCAUGGCUUAGAGAAGAAGCGCA
rnacentral:rRNA from 1 species